AACGAACGCUGGCGGCGUGCUUAAUACAUGCAAGUCUAACGAGAAAGUCCGACUUCGGUUGGGCGAGUAAAGUGGCGAACGGGUGAGUAACACGUGGAAAAUCUACCCUUGUGUCUGGAAUAAUCCUUCGAAAGGGGGUCUAAUACCGGAUAACAUCCCGAAGCGGCAUCGCUUUGGGAUCAAAGGCGGGGCAACCUGCCGCAUGGGGAUGGUUCCGCGCUCCAUUAGCUUGUUGGUGAGGUAACGGCUCACCAAGGCUAUGAUGGAUAGCCGGCCUGAGAGGGUGAUCGGCCACACUGGGACUGAGAUACGGCCCAGACUCCUACGGGAGGCAGCAGUAGGGAAUAUUGCGCAAUGGACGAAAGUCUGACGCAGCAACGCCGCGUGGGUGAUGAAGCAUCUUGGUGUGUAAAACCCUGUCAGUGGGGAAGAAACGUAUGAGGAGUAACUGCCUCAUGCCUGACGGUACCCACAGAGGAAGUCCCGGCCAACUCCGUGCCAGCAGCCGCGGUAAUACGGGGGGGACGAGCGUUGUUCGGAUUUACUGGGCGUAAAGGGCGCGUAGGCGGACCUUCAAGUCGGGUGUGAAAUCUGUUGGCUUAACUGACAGCCUGCGUUCGAUACUGUUGGCCUUGAGUACAGGAGAGGAGAGCGGAAUUCCAGGUGUAGCGGUGAAAUGCGUAGAUAUCUGGAAGAACACCAGUUGCGAAGGCGGCUCUCUGGACUGAUACUGACGCUAAAGCGCGAAGGCUUGGGUAGCAAACAGGAUUAGAUACCCUGGUAGUCCAAGCGGUAAACGAUGGGUACUAGGUGUCGGGGG
rnacentral:rRNA from 1 species